GAGUGAAAGGCUCCCUCGCCGUAAGUCCAAGGAUUCCUGCGCAACGUUCAUCGGCGCAGGGUUAGUCGGCCCCUAAGGUGAGGCAGAGAUGCGUAGCUGAUGGGAAGUGGGUUAAUAUUCCUACACCGAUAUGUGAAGUGAAGGGGGGACGGAUUGCGAAAUGUGAACGAGCUGAUGGAAGUGCUCGGUAUUGUAGCUAAGAAGUUGAUUAGGCAAAUCCGGUCAAAGGAUUCAAGGCUAUGAUUCGAAGAAGACGUAAUGUUUUUGAAGUCACAGGAAGUGGUUCCAAGAAAAGCCUCUAAGCGAUAAUUUACAUAUUGACCGUACCGCAAACCGACACAGGUGGACGGGAUGAAUAUUCCAAGGCGCUUGAGAGAACUCAGGAGAAGGAACUCGGCAAAUUGAUACCGUAACUUCGGGAGAAGGUAUGCCUUUGUAUGGUGAAUAGCCAGAAGAGGCCGCAGAGAAUAGGUGGCUGCGACUGUUUAUUAAAAACAUAGCACUCUGCAAACACGAAAGUGGAAGUAUAGGGUGUGACGCCUGCCCGGUGCUGGAAGGUUAAUUGAUGUGGUGCAAGCUAUUGAUCGAAGCCCCAGUAAACGGCGGCCGUAACUAUAACGGUCCUAAGGUAGCGAAAUUCCUUGUCGGGUAAGUUCCGACCUGCACGAAUGGCGUAACGAUGGCCACACUGUCUCCUCCUGAGACUCAGCGAAGUUGAAGUGUUUGUGAUGAUGCAAUCUCCCCGCGGCUAGACGGAAAGAC
rnacentral:rRNA from 1 species